CAGCCAGAGAUAUGCAAAAUUCUUGUAAUGAAACUGCAAGCCAAGUGAAAACAGAGCGACAAGAUAUUGCAUGUAGCAGAGAGUGGCUCCUGCUUCAAGUAGAAGAAAAAGAAGAGAGGGCAACCUCCUGGCUCUCUGGGAAUAAAGAGAACUCUUACAACUUCUGAAGUCUCCAAGAGUGAACUGAAGGCAGUCUUGCGCUAGCCAUGUGCUCCUGCUGUCCACAGAAGAAAGAAAAUGCUGCUCAGAGUCUAACACUGCACUGAUCUAUGUCUUUCGAACAGCCUAAAAGCCUCCAGCAAGACUCGUGCUUGGGGUACUUGGACAGAAUUGCCUGAACUGGCUUUGGAUGCAGUGACCACUACUAGCAUAAAAAAUUACAUUGCUUGAGAAAUCAGAUUCAAGUAGAAUGGGAGGACUGUUUCUGUAAAGUAGCCACAUUU